UUGUUAUUAUGAAUAAUUAUAAAAUAAUGAUUUGAGCUAAGGUAAUUAUUUAAACCAAAUAUUGAUGGAUAAUGCCUAGACAAGAUUGAAAUCCAAGUCACAGAAAAUUUUAAUUUAUGAAUAGAUGAAUCACAUCCCAAAUAAAGCCAUUUUAGCUAUAGAAUCUAUGUUUAAGAACAUACUUUAUUUACUAUCUUUCAUAUGGAGAGUUCAAGAAAUUUCUAUGUUGAUUUUCCUUACAUAUUAGGGGUUCUUUUUCAUUUUAGUUUAUUUUCACUUUUACAUGUACCUAAGAAUUCACAUUUGUUACUUGACACAAUUAUAAGUUUUGGCACUGGAAAUCAAUUGGCUAGGUAGAUGUAUCAUGUUAUCACCAAAGAGAUGAGAAUUCUAUACCUCUUGUAUGAUAACUGGGGUGUAGCAGUUUAGGGAAAACACUUGUGAUCUGAAGUCAACCCAGGUCAGAAAUCCAAAUUUCAGGGGGUAGGAUAUGCCAGAUUUGAUUUUUAACAUAUAAGAUGUAAUACAGUAGCAUUUUAGCAUCAAUGAAAAAAAACUGACAAUUAUAAAUUUCAUGCAUAGAUCCAUUUACCUCCCCCUCCCCCCACAACAACAAUGCCAUUCUUAAAGGCUACUUUUUAAUAGAAAUCGCAUGCAUGUGAUCUUAUUUCUAUGAUCACAAGUGUAAAGGCUUCGUAUUGAUUAAGCUAUGCUGUCAUUCGUAUGUACUUCAGUUGGUCACGUGACGUUUGUUUACAAACACGAUCUCGUGUGAGGCCGUACAUUAUAGGUCUUGCGUUAUUCUUUUCAUAAAGGAGGUCAGACAGAUUUAAACAACUCUACAAGCUUCCAGUCUUCAAGAUAUAUUCCAAACGCUGUAAGUUACAGGCGGAACUUAAGCAUAGAACUGCGAAAAUGAUGAAUAAAGGACCAAUGGAACUUCUUCUUGCAGUAUUCGUUGUCACAAGUUUCGGUUAUGUUGUCACGGUUUACGCAGACAGUUGUAACAGUCCUUAUAAAGGAGAAUGCCGCGCUGAGGAUAACUUGGAAGAGUUCCAGCCUGGUUGUUGUCGCCCAUGCCCCUCAUGCAUGAAGGGAAGAGGAAAACCUGUGAAUGUGA